ensembl:lncRNA
GAAAUACUUCUCCACAGCAAGUAGGCUACUCAGAACAGCUAGGCUGCUCUCCUGACUGGGUCCUGGAGCCUACAGUAAGGGGUGAAACGACUGUGUGACCUGGGCUGCAAACUCAGAAUGCUCUUCUUGCACUCACCUACAUUGUCCCACUACGGGAAAGUAGAACAUCGGCUGCACCCUUCCCACCUCUUGACUGGCUUCUAAUGCCACUACUGGUAAGUUAAGAGAAGAAUAUAACAUAGUCCUUACACUGUGUUGAAUAUUAAAUUCAAAAUACCUACAAGAAAAUCAGAUAUAACAUUGAAGUGAGGUCCAAGGCCAUUUUCUCAGUCUUUUAAGAUACAGACCAUGACACCCACCAAUUUCCUAUGAAUACCUGGGAGUUUAAUCUUGGUGGGGGACAAUAAAGUAUAUCAUAUAUCUCAGCUCUUCCACUCAUUCCAUUCUAUGGAGACAAAGGAUGCCAGGAGAAAAGGUUAAGGUGAGUCCAUGUGUUCAAGUACAUCAAGUAAGACUCAAAUAAACCCCUUAAAGGGAUAGUUCACCCAAAUGUCGAAUACAUAUUGGUUUCUUAAUAUCGGGAUAUUGACCUGUGUUGGUUUUGGGCCACAAAUGCUAAACAGUUUGCAGGUAAGGCCAGGUAAGCAAAACAAAAGCACGGAUUACUAUCUUAGCUUUGUCCAUAGACUGCUUACAGGGUAAGGAAGCAGCGUGAGGAAACCAAUAUGUAAUUAUAUAAUUUGGGUGAACUGUCCCUUUAACCCCUUCAAUAAAUAACAUUGGUUCAUCAAGCAAGACUCAAAUGCACCUCUUCCCCCCUCCACGUCACACACACAUGCACACACGCACACACAAGACAGCUGGGAAUGGGACCCUUAACAUGUCAUUGAGUGACACGGUCUGGUAUGUUCAGAUCUAGAAGCUAAUUACAGAGGCUCAAGGUUGAAGCUGAGGCACAGGUGUGAAGUUGUAAGAGUCAAAAGGGCUCCAAGAGAUUACAGAAGAAAAUACAGGGCAUUAACCCCUUGCACACACAGGUCUCGAAGGAGAUCACUUUCUUUCCAGCUAUGUGACAACCUUGUAGACAGCUUCACACUUUCACUGUCUCGAAGGAGGUCACUUUCUUUCCAGCUAUGUGACAACCUUGUAGACAGCUUCACACUUUCACUGUCUCGAAGGAGGUCACUUUCUUUCCAGCUAUGUGACAACCUUGUAGACAGCUUCACACUUUCACUGUCUCGAAGGAGGUCACUUU